AUGUAAAAAAAUAAACGAUAUCGUUUACCUUUUUAAAUGUGGCCACACUUUGCUUUGACCUGUCAAUGUCAUGUCAUACGUCAAAGGUGGGAAGUGAGGUUAUGUAGAUUGCAAUGCCGCUUUAAAUAAUCGCCGUUAUAAUUGUUAUUUGUUAUUGAGAAAGGAGUGACUAAAGCAGGAAUAAACUUUAAAUGUCGUUUCUUUGUUUACAGAGCAACGCAUGAAGUUAUUCUUCCUUCCAGUUCAUAUCCACAAAAGUGAAAUCAUCUUAUAAAACGACAUUUCUAGUUACGAGUUUCAAAGAAAGAUGACGAAGCUUCGUUUUGAAUUCACAAUACUACCUGGAAGUGACGAAAAAACAAAUGUCUGUUGUAUAACCUCAAUAACCACCGAGGACAACAAGAGUUAUGCAUUACCGGACGGACUCCAGUCAGUUGGUCAUCACAAAGAAUUGAUAAAAACAGCGGCAUAUAGUAAAGUAAAGAAUAGUUUAUCAAAAAGGUACCAGAUAAGGAGAAUUUGGAUCUCGCUAACCGAGGACCUAGAGCAAAUUUAUAUGGAUGAGGACGGCAAUGUGCAGUUUGCGGACAGAUACCUGGAAGAAUUGAAUCAGGACCAAUGUGCUUCUAAUGCACCCACUGCUGCCGGCACAAAAGGGACCAAUACUUUAGAAAAAUUGUUAGAAAAGUUAAUAGAAAGUACACAGGAAAGUAAACAACACAGCUUGAAGAAUAUGGCAGAUAAGUUUGUAAUCGAGAAGUUUACUAGUAAACAUUCGAAUGCGGCUCAAUGGAUGGACAUUUUUGAAAAGGAAUGUGAGCGUUACCAGAUAUCGGAUGGGAAAAAGAUUGAAGUUCUUAGGCUCUUUAUGGAUAAAAGUUGUGCAGAUUGGUACAGUUCCAUGGUUGUAAAACUGACUAUGAAUGCAGAAUGGUCUGAGUGGAGGAAAAAAUUUUGUGAAUCAUUUGUCAACAAAGGGUGGAGCCCAGUUACAUAUGCAUUACUGUAUAAAUAUAAGGAUGGCUCACUGUUGGAUUAUGCUAUAAGAAAGGAAAAGCUUUUACUCGAUAUGAGGAAGUCAAUUGAUUCUGGUACAUUGGUGGACCUUAUCGCAAUGGGUUUGCCGGAGUACAUAUUAAACAAGAUUGAUAGAGAAGCGUUGAAGGACACAGUUGAGUUGUUCAAUGAAGUAAGCAAGUAUGAGCAUAUGGUUACCAAAAAAAGCUACUUAUUUAAGAAGAAGUAUGGACCCUCAAGAACAAAUUUCAAGAAUGAGGAUCUAAAGCCAUGCAAAAUUUGUGAAGGGUUAAACAAAGGCACCCGCUAUCACGCUGAGACUGCAUGUUGGUUUCGUACAAAAGAAGAUGACAAAGUGAAGAGAAACUUCAUUAAACAUGUUAAUAAUGCAUUGAUAGAAGCGGAGUUAAAUGAAUCAGUUCCAAAAAACGAAUACUAACACCACUGAUAAAGGUCAACAUACUAAUUAAUGAUAAACAUCUGAUAAAUGCAGUCUAUGACCCAGGCUCAGUUGUUUCCAUUAUAAAUUCUAAGCUCUUAAGCCUAAAAGGGAGAGGAAACGAAUUGAAUGAAGAAAAUUUAGUAACAGUUGGUGGUGUUAAAAAAACGGAUGGUUUGACCAACCUAAAAAUAAAAAUAUUUAACAAAGAAGAGAAUGUUGAUAUAUCCAUUGUGGAUCAACAAUAUUUCAUGCAUGAUUUUCUGAUUGGCUUGGACCUUAUAAAAAUAUUCCGAUUAACUCAAGAUGAGAAUUUGGAAAUACAUCAGGUACUGGGUACAAACAUAAAAGAUAAUGAGAAAGUGGAAGUUUCAAAUGAAGAAAUAAAUCAUAACCAAUCAAAAGUUCCUGGGAAUGAUAAGAACACAACAAAAGAAUAUUAUGUCAAUUUUAAUGAGCAUAUAAAGGAGGAGGAUUUUAAGAUAAAGAUAGAUCAUUUGAACAAGGAGCAACAGUCUGAAAUAAAUACAUUGAUCAAUAAAUAUAACUCAGUGUUUGCAAGGCAUAAAUAUGAUGUUGGGACUGUCAAUGGGUAUGAAGCCAGAAUAGACUUGUUGGUGGACAAAUAUUGCAGCAAGAGGCCAUAUAGAUGUACCAUGGAGGAUAAAAAAGAGAUAGAAGAGCAAAUUGGAAAGUUACUCGAUAAUAAGUUAAUAGAGGAAUCCUAUAGUCCAUUUGCUGCACCGGUCACAUUAGCAUUUAAAAGAGAGGAGAAUAAAAAAUCAAGAUUAUGUAUCGACUUUAGGGACUUGAAUAAAAUAGUAGUACCACAAGCUCAGCCCUUCCCACUGAUCGAAGACCUUAUGAUGAAGACUAGGAAUUGUACAUUUUUCUCGACACUUGAUAUCAACUCAGCGUUUUGGUCCAUUCCUUUACGGAUUGAGGACAGAAAGAAAACAGGGUUUGUAACCCAGGAUGGACACUUUCAAUGGACCUGCCUGCCUUUUGGAUUGAAGACCUCGCCAGCAAUCUUCCAAAGAAUUUUAAGCAACAUAUUGAGGAAAUAUAAGCUUACGGACUUUGCAGUUAAUUACAUUGAUGAUAUCCUUAUAUUUUCCAGAACGUUCACCGAACACAUUGAACAUUUAACAAAGUUGCUGGAAGCAAUUAGGACGGAGGGCUUCAGAUUAAAAUUCACGAAAUGCACAUUUGCAUCUGACUUAGUAAAAUAUUUGGGUCAUAUAAUACAAAACAAUUCAGUUAAGCCAUUGAAGGAUAACUUGACCUCAAUAAAGAAUUUUCCUAUUCCUAGAACGCAGAAAAAUAUAAGACAGUUCCUAGGGAAAAUAAAUUUUUACCACGAGUAUAUUCCGAAGAGUGCAAUAAUACUAGACCCAUUGCAUAAUUUAUUAAGAAAGAACCAGAAAUUCAUAUGGACCGCUGAAUGCCAAAAUGCAUUUGAAAAGAUAAAGGAUCUCUUAUGUUCUCAACCAGUUUUGGAAAUAUUCGAUGAAAAUUUGCCGAUACAAAUCUAUACAGAUGCUUCAUUAGAAGGCGUCGGUGCGAUUUUAAAACAAAUACAGCCUGAUGGUAAAGAAAAACCCGUAGCCUAUUUUUCAAAGAAACUGAAUCAAGCUCAGAAGAAGAAAAAAGCAAUAUAUUUAGAAUGUUUAGCCAUCAAGGAAGCAGUACGAUAUUGGCAAUACUGGUUGAUAGGUAAAUCAUUUACAGUAUAUUCAGACCACAAACCACUAGAAAACAUGAAUUUGAAAUCUAGAACUGAUGAGGAACUAGGUGAUUUAACUUAUUACCUGUCACAGUAUGACUUUAAAAUAAAAUAUUCUCCGGGAAAGGAAAAUUUAGAAGCCGACUGUUUAAGCAGAAAUCCUGUAUUAGAACCUAAUGAAAAUACUGAGGAACAAUUGAAGAUAGUAAAUUUGAUAAGUCUCAACGACAUUAUAAGGGAUCAGAAGGAAAAUCCAGAAGUACAGAAUAAAAGAGGAAAAUUAAUUGAAAGACACAAUGUAUACUUAAAAA